UAAGCAUGGCUACAUCGACAAGGGUAGGAGAAGCAGGGCCGUGGCCAAAAACAAAAGCAUUGAGAGUGUCUGACCAAAAGUAGGAUGCAGCUAUCAGCAGUGACUCGUUCCUGUGCAUAUCGGCAAUGGAUAGCCUAAUGCAUUGAGCUAGCUUCCUCUCACCCCACUGGACUUCAUAAGAAUUGCUGACCCUCAAGAACCAAUCUUUCCACCCUGCAGUAGGGCUGGGCCAAGAGCGAAAGGUGUCU
rnacentral:lncRNA from 1 species